CUAGCAGACAACGCCGCGGGGCAAAGAUGAUCUAGUUCCUUAAUACCAGCUCACCCAAAACUUCACGUUAGUCAAGGUAUAUAUGGUAGCAUGUAUGUAUACAUAUAUGGCAUUGGAGGAGCCGUACAGGGUGUGUAUAGCAAACAAUAUAAUGGGACUCUACAUGGCGAGCGAGCUCAAAGACCUUGCUGCAUGGUGGUUUCGCCGAGCAAACCACAUUUUCGCCUCUGUGCUUUCAUCGAUGCUCGCGUGGUGGCGUCCGAGCGGCACGUGAUCCGCAGGCCGCAAUCGAUGUGACUGCCCGAUAUUUUGAAAGUGAGGCGAGAAGCGAGCGAAAGCCCAGUGCACGCAUCGCAGAAACACCGAGAAAUUGCAGGUACGGCCGGCUGCUUUCGCUUCGCCCGCGUGGCGCGAACUUUGGGUCGCCCGGAAGUGAAUUUUUUUGUCCCGCCCGGCGCCCGGAAGACGGUCGUUCCGCGUGGACUGUGUGCCGCGUGUGUUCUGCGCUGUCGAGCUAUUUUUCGUGGACGCCGCUUUGUCAGCGACAGCGUUCGGCGUUCUGCUGUUUGGAACUUUGUCAGCGGCAGUGUCGGCCGUUCUCUUGCUCGGACCUUUUUUUUUGCGUGUGUUGCGAGCCUCGUUGUGACAACCUGCCGGUGUUCACGGGAACCCGUGAAAAGUAUGCACUUGCGUGAGAACUGUGGUCGUGAGCCGGAAAUGAGUGGAACCUGAAGAUCUCUCUUCUACGUCGAUUACGGGCUGUGCCACGAUGCCCUGCGAUAGGCAACCUCACGUCCCCCUAACGAUGGCCGUCGAUGAUUGAAAGGGUCGAUGCAUUCAUUGAGAGUGCAUAAUUUUCACACCACUGCGUCCGCUGAUAUG
rnacentral:lncRNA from 1 species